rnacentral:rRNA from 1 species
AACGAACGCUGGCGGCAUGCCUAACACAUGCAAGUCGAACGAAGGCUUCGGCCUUAGUGGCGCACGGGUGCGUAACGCGUGGGAAUCUGCCCUUUGGUUCGGAAUAACAGCUGGAAACGGCUGCUAAUACCGGAUGAUGACGAAAGUCCAAAGAUUUAUCGCCAGAGGAUGAGCCCGCGUUGGAUUAGGUAGUUGGUGGGGUAAAGGCCUACCAAGCCGACGAUCCAUAGCUGGUCUGAGAGGAUGAUCAGCCACACUGGGACUGAGACACGGCCCAGACUCCUACGGGAGGCAGCAGUGGGGAAUAUUGGACAAUGGGCGAAAGCCUGAUCCAGCAAUGCCGCGUGAGUGAUGAAGGCCCUAGGGUUGUAAAGCUCUUUUACCCGGGAAGAUAAUGACUGUACCGGGAGAAUAAGCCCCGGCUAACUCCGUGCCAGCCGCCGCCGUAAAAC